AGAUAGAGGUUGCGGCAAGCAUCAGUAAUCCAUGGAUCAAUGGCCCGGGAAGCCGGCGUGGAAGAAAGGGCAGGCCGCCGAAGGAACCGGAGUCCCGAACCGGUUUCUGGGACGUCACAGAAUAUGUGGCGGACUGUCGCUGGCCCAGGUCAGCGGAGCGCUGUCUGA
rnacentral:ncRNA from 1 species